GUUUUCAGUAGCUUACCAUCC
rnacentral:tRNA from 1 species